rnacentral:rRNA from 1 species
GACGAACGCUGGCGGCGUGCUUAACACAUGCAAGUCGAACGGAAAGGCCCUGCUUUUGUGGGGUGCUCGAGUGGCGAACGGGUGAGUAACACGUGAGUAACCUGCCCUUGACUUUGGGAUAACUUCAGGAAACUGGGGCUAAUACCCGAUAGGAGCUCCUGCUGCAUGGUGGGGGGUGGAAAGGUUCGGCGGUUGGGGAUGGACUCGCGGCUUAUCAGCUUGUUGGUGGGGUAGUGGCUUACCAAGGCUUUGACGGGUAGCCGGCCUGAGAGGGUGACCGGCCACAUUGGGACUGAGAUACGGCCCAGACUCCUACGGGAGGCAGCAGUGGGGAAUAUUGCACAAUGGGCGGAAGCCUGAUGCAGCAACGCCGCGUGCGGGAUGACGGCCUUCGGGUUGUAAACCGCUUUCGCCUGUGACGAAGCGUGAGUGACGGUAAUGGGUAAAGAAGCACCGGCUAACUACGUG